CAAACUCAUCACUCUCCCCCUCCAACUCAGCAGAUGCCUCCACUUCUCUAUCAGGAGGGGGCAGUAUGAUCUUUGAACAGCUUUUAGCUCUUCCCUUUUCUACAUUUAACUCUUCCCCCAAAAGUGGCUACAUCCUUGACUGCAUCACUUACCUUUCCCCACCAUGUGCUCCGGGCCAGUGCUGUUGGUGGCUAUUUUUCUCCUGGUAGCAGGCCCCGUGGAUGCUGGAGUUUCCCAGACCCCCAGACAACUGGUCACUGGGCAGGGACAGAACGUCGUGCUGAGCUGUGAGCCAGAAAAAGGCCACAGUUAUCUUUACUGGUACCAACAACUUCCUGGACAGGAGCUGAACUUCCUCAUUUAUUUCCAGAAUAAUGAUGCCGUAGACAAGUCAGGGAUAAAAGAUCCUCGAUUCUCAGCCUUUCGCUCAGAGGGUUCCUCCUCCACCUUUUCCAUCACCAAGGCAGUGGUGGGAGACACGGCUUCGUAUUUCUGUGCGAGCAGCUUAUCCACAGCAGUGCAGUCUCACUUCCUCCUAGGGCAAAAACAGUGUAGGAAACCUGGGAGCUGAGGACGAUGUUGGCUUGAGAAAUGUGACAACUUCAGGGUGCCCUGGGGAAAGACUAGUGACUUCCUCCACAAGCAAGAGAUUGAAAGCCCAAAUGUAAUUGUUGUUGGGGUCCCUGUGAUGGUCACUAAAGCUCUUACUAGUUUCUGAGCUCUGUCCUGCAUGUGGAUAGACAAUAGGGGUGCAGUUUGUUCAUCUACAACUCCCUCAACAGUUAAUGAGUUCUGGGCAACUCUGUUUUUUCAGAUUCUUCCAAAAAAUCCACUUUUGUACCAGCCACACCUCUUGCCCCUUCCACUGAUUGGU